GAUGAACGCUGGCGGCGUGCCUAAUACAUGCAAGUCGAGCGAACAGACGAGGAGCUUGCUCCUCUGACGUUAGCGGCGGACGGGUGAGUAACACGUGGAUAACCUACCUAUAAGACUGGGAUAACUUCGGGAAACCGGAGCUAAUACCGGAUAAUAUAUUGAACCGCAUGGUGCAAUAGUGAAAGACGGUUUUGCUGUCACUUAUAGAUGGAUCCGCGCCGCAUUAGCUAGUUGGUAAGGUAAAGGCUUACCAAGUCAACGAUGCGUAGCCGACCUGAGAGGGUGAUCGGCCACACUGGAACUGAGACACGGUCCAGACUCCUACGGGAGGCAGCAGUAGGGAAUCUUCCGCAAUGGGCGAAAGCCUGACGGAGCAACGCCGCGUGAGUGAUGAAGGUCUUCGGAUCGUAAAACUCUGUUAUUAGGGAAGAACAAAUUUGUAAGUAACUAUGCACGUCUUGACGGUACCUAAUCAGAAAGCCACGGCUAACUACGUG
rnacentral:rRNA from 1 species